rnacentral:lncRNA from 1 species
CCCCUAGCAUAUUUCACCUUUUUAUUUUUAUUUUUUUUCUUAAAGGGAUGAUGCCUCACUGAGGAUCUUUCCACUACAUUCAUCAUUUCCUUAUGGAGCUGGUGAUCUUUCUCAAAAGUCUGAGCAACCACAGUAAACCAUGAUAAUUGACUACAGGCUCCAUCAUUCUAUAAUGAUUGAGAAAAGGAAGAUAAAACUUUGAUAGAGAAUUCAGAAAUACAUCUUUUCUAAGCUAUUCAUGCCAAAGAAAGUCGAGC